rnacentral:tRNA from 2 species
GCCCGGGUGGCGGAAUGGUAGACGCAAGGGACUCAAAAUCCCUCGAUGGCAACAUCGUGAGAGUUCAAGUCUCUCCCCGGGCACCA